rnacentral:tRNA from 1 species
GUAAGCGCACUGGAAAGUGUGCUUGGACUACAAAAAGUAGCUUAAAAUAAAGCAUUCAACUUACAAUUG